rnacentral:rRNA from 1 species
GAGAGGGCGACCGGCCACACUGGGACUGAGACACGGCCCAGACUCCUACGGGAGGCAGCAGUGGGGAAUAUUGCACAAUGGGCGAAAGCCUGAUGCAGCGACGCCGCGUGAGGGAUGACGGCCUUCGGGUUGUAAACCUCUUUCAGCAGGGAAGAAGCGAAAGUGACGGUACCUGCAGAAGAAGCGCCGGCUAACUACGUGCCAGCAGCCGCGGUAAUACGUAGGGCGCGAGCGUUGUCCGGAAUUAUUGGGCGUAAAGAGCUCGUAGGCGGCUUGUCGCGUCGGUUGUGAAAGCCCGGGGCUUAACCCCGGGUCUGCAGUCGAUACGGGCAGGCUAGAGUUCGGUAGGGGAGAUCGGAAUUCCUGGUGUAGCGGUGAAAUGCGCAGAUAUCAGGAGGAACACCGGUGGCGAAGGCGGAUCUCUGGGCCGAUACUGACGCUGAGGAGCGAAAGCGUGGGGAGCGAACAGGAUUAGAUACCCUGGUAGUCCACGCCGUAAACGGUGGGCACUAGGUGUGGGCGACAUUCCACGUCGUCCGUGCCGCAGCUAACGCAUUAAGUGCCCGCCUGGGGGGAGACGAGAUCCCCACU